rnacentral:piRNA from 2 species
UGGAAUGUAAAGAAGUAUGUAUU